rnacentral:rRNA from 1 species
GAGAGUAGUACUAGGAUGGGUGACCUCCUGGGAAGUCCUCGUGUUGCCCCUC